rnacentral:rRNA from 1 species
UUUAGACGGUAGGGUAUUGGCCUACCGUGGCUAUGACGGGUAACGGGGAAUUAGGGUUCGAUUCCGGAGAGGGAGCCUGAGAAACGGCUACCACAUCUAAGGAAGGCAGCAGGCGCGCAAAUUACCCAAUCCUAAUACAGGGAGGUAAUGACAAGAAAUAACAAUACAGAACCUUACGGUUUUGUAAUUGGAAUGAGUUAAGUAUAAACCCCUUAACAAGUAUCAAUUGGAGGGCAAGUCUGGUGCCAGCAGCCGCGGUAAUUCCAGCUCCAAUAGCGUAUAUUAAAGUUGUUGCAGUUAAAAAGCUCGUAGUUAAUCUUCUGUUAAUUUUUAUAUAUAAUAUCACGAUAUUUAUAUAAUAUUAACAUAAUUCAUAUUACUUUUUAGUAUAUGAAACUUUACUUUGAGAAAAUUAGAGUGCUUAAAGCAGGCUAUUGCCUUGAAUACUCCAGCAUGGAAUAAUAUUAAGGAUUUUUAUUCUUCUUAUUGGUUCUAGAAUAAAAAUGAUGAUUAAUAGGGACAGUUGGGGGCAUUUGUAUUUAACAGUCAGAGGUGAAAUUCUUAGAUUUGUUAAAGACAAACUACUGCGAAAGCAUUUGCCAAGGAUGUUUUCAUUAAUCAAGAACGAAAGUUAGGGGAUCGAAGACGAUCAGAUACCGUCGUAGUCUU